rnacentral:pre_miRNA from 1 species
AUACUACUACCUCCGUCCGAAAAUACUUGUCAUCAAAAUGAACAAAAAGGGGUGUAUCUAAAACUAAAAUACAUCUAGAUACAUUCCCUUCUAUUUAUUUUGAUGACAAGUAUUUCUGGACGGAGGGAGUACCAU